rnacentral:rRNA from 1 species
UACGCAGGUGGCAAGCGUUGUCCGGAUUUACUGGGCGUAAAGGGCGUGCGGGCGGUUUGUUAAGUGCAGGGUGAAAGCUCCCGGCUCAACUGGGAGAGGUCCUUGUAUACUGGCAAACUCGAGGGAGGCAGAGGAAAGUGGAAUUCCCGGUGUAGUGGUGAUAUGCGUAGAUAUCGGGAGGAACACCUGUGGCGAAGGCGGCUUUCUGGGCCUUACCUGACGCUGAGACGCGAAAGCGUGGGGAGCGAACCGG